UACGUAGGGUGCGAGCGUUGUCCGGAAUUAUUGGGCGUAAAGAGCUUGUAGGCGGUUUGUCGCGUCUGCUGUGAAAAUCCGGGGCUCAACCCCGGACUUGCAGUGGGUACGGGCAGACUAGAGUGUGGUAGGGGAGACUGGAAUUCUGGUGUAGCGGUGAAAUGCGCAGAUAUCAGGAGGAACACCGAUGGCGAAGGCAGGUCUCUGGGCCACUACUGACGCUGAGAAGCGAAAGCAUGGGGAGCGAACAGG
rnacentral:rRNA from 1 species